rnacentral:rRNA from 1 species
AGUGAACGCUGGCGGUAGGCCUAACACAUGCAAGUCGAACGGCAGCACAGUAAGAGCUUGCUCUUACGGGUGGCGAGUGGCGGACGGGUGAGGAAUACAUCGGAAUCUACUUUUUCGUGGGGGAUAACGUAGGGAAACUUACGCUAAUACCGCAUACGACCUACGGGUGAAAGCAGAGGAUCUUCGGACCUUGCGCGAUUGAAUGAGCCGAUGUCGGAUUAGCUAGUUGGCGGGGUAAAGGCCCACCAAGGCGACGAUCCGUAGCUGGUCUGAGAGGAUGAUCAGCCACACUGGAGCUGAGACACGGUCCAGACUCCUACGGGAGGCAGCAGUGGGGAAUAUUGGACAAUGGGCGCAAGCCUGAUCCAGCCAUACCGCGUGGGUGAAGAAGGCCUUCGGGUUGUAAAGCCCUUUUGUUGGGAAAGAAAAGCAGCAGGUUAAUACCCCGCUGUUCUGACGGUACCCAAAGAAUAAGCACCGGCUAACUUCGUG